rnacentral:rRNA from 1 species
UACAGAGGAUGCAAGCGUUAUCCGGAAUGAUUGGGCGUAAAGCGUCUGUAGGUGGCUUUUUAAGUCCGCCGUCAAAUCCCAGGGCUCAACUCUGGACAGGCGGUGGAAACUACCAAGCUGGAGUACGGUAGGGGCAGAGGGAAUUUCCGGUGGAGCGGUGAAAUGCGUAGAGAUCGGGAGGAACACCUAUGGCGAAGGCAGCUCGCUGGACGUUACUGACGCUGGAGACGCGAAAGCGUGGGGAGCAAACAGG